CCGCCCCGGGAGCAGGACCCGCGCCCACGCCCCCGAGCGAGGCGCUGUGUCGGCGCCAGGCCUGAGGAGGCGCCGUCGGGCGGCGGGCUCACCUGCAGGCGGUGGCUCUUGACCAGGCAGUAAAUACCUUGGCUACAGAGGUCCUUGGAUGUAUAUUUACUGCUCCAUCUGUUCUCAAGACUACAUUUGAAUACAGUAUGUGUGUCUGGACCAUCAAGCACAUAAUAGGUCCCAGUUGCACACCCUUGCCAAGCACCAAGGAGGGCUGUGAGCUGUGAGAAGCCAACCCAGGAACAUGCGGCACCUCUGUGCAGACCUAACACAGCCAUUCAGGCACCGAGCAGAAGUGCCUGCCCUGUGUGCACAGAUGCUUUUAAAUCACAACAGUAAUCCAUAAGGAAAUUAGCAUUAAGUCCUUGCAGACUCAUUGCCUCAGUCUGAGAUAACCGAAGUGUCUUUGCUAUUGCUAAUUAAAUCUAAAAACAUAUUUUUCACAUAAAAUACCUACAGUCUGUAGAAAAUACCAUUGUAUUAUAAAGCAUACUUU